AUUGAACGCUGGCGGCAGGCCUAACACAUGCAAGUCGAGCGAGCGGCGGACGGGUGAGUAAUGUAUGGGGAACUGCCCGAUAGAGGGGGAUAACUCCUGGAAACGGUGGAUAAUACCGCAUACGCUCCGAUAAGCCCAGAUGGGAUUAGCUAGUGGGUGGGGUAAUGGCUUACCUAGGCGACGAUCCCUAGCUGGUCUGAGAGGAUGACCAGCCACACUGGGACUGAGACACGGUCCAGACUCCUACGGGAGGCAGCAGUGGGGAAUAUUGCACAAUGGGCGCAAGCCUGAUGCAGCCAUGCCGCGUGUAUGAAGAAGGCCUUCGGGUUGUAAAGUACUUUCAGUGGGGAGGCGUUACCCGCAGAAGAAGCACCGGCUAACUCCGUGCCAGCAGCCGCGGUAAUAC
rnacentral:rRNA from 1 species